GGAACGAAAAUAAAAUCAGGGAAAAUAGAAACCCUUUCAAUCCCUAAAUGACCUCUCCUUCAAGCUGAGUUAUGCAACUCAUCUCCUUCUUUCUCUGUUCACAAUCUGCAACGCCGGCGACAUCCCCAUUCAAAGAGAACAUUCAUACGACAGCGGCAUCCGAUUCUAUAUUCGUUCACAAUCCUUUCAUUCUUUCUCUUCCUCCUUCUUUUUCCCACCACAAAGUCUAUCUCCAUCUUCUCACACAAUCUUUCCCUUUUCCAUUCCCAUCCUUCAGCUUAUAUUAACCUUCUCUCUCAUAAUCUUCUUCUCAGCACACCACGAUUUUGCCAAUGCAAGCAAAUGAGAGGAUUGAUGUAUGUGUGGAUGAUAAGGUUACAAACUACUUAAACCGGAGAGAUGUGCCAGAGGCACUUCAUGUGAAGCUUGUCGGAGUUCGCAAGUAGGAUGUUUGUAGCAACAUUUUGGACUAUGAUGUGCUUAACUUGGAAGUGCCAACACUUCCUACUGUUGGAUCAUUGAUAAAAUCUGGAGUUAGAGCUCUAAUUUACAGUGGAAAUCAAGAUUCAGUAAUUCCACUAACUGGAAGAGAACCUUAGUUCAGAGCAUUGCAUUUGCUAUCAUUCCUCUUUUGGUAACAAUGAAGAUGAUGAUAAAUUAUUUCAAGUUGACGAUGAAGACGAUGAAUUUGAAGAGGAUGACAUAGAUGGCAAAUUUGAAGAGGACAAUGUAGAUGCUAAAUGAAGAAGACACACUUGAAUGAUCUAGAUGAUGAUUUUAGAUUAUGCUUUUUUGGAUGAUGUUUUUUUACUAGGCAUAUACUUGAUUGAAGCAUCAAAACUUCAACAAACUAUAUAUUUUGCUAGACUUAGUACUUUAAGUAUUAAAAUUUAUUUGCAAACUACCAUUUAUUUGAAUACAACUUUGUUAA